UCAAAAAAAAAAGAGCUUGCCCAGGAAAAGACAAGGCACCGAUCUUAUCAUAACCUCGAUGGCAAAUUUAUAAUCCCUGUUAAUCGGUUAACAAAUAGCAAUGCUACACGAAAAAUAUUUACGUGUACAUCUCCCGGACCGUACGGCUUCAUUCCCUGCUAGGCUGCUAGCAGCUCCAGCGACCAUGGCAUCCUCGUCCUUCCACCUCCACGGCUCCCCACCUCCUCCCCCCCGCCCAAGCCGGACCGGAGGUCCGGGGGUCUUGCGGCGCUCGGCGACGGGCGGAUGCCUUGGAUGAUCUAUCAGGGAUCACCGCGGAAUCGCAACCUGGAAUUUAGGAGAAGACGCACAAAGCGAGAUGAGAUAGGAAGGGCACCGGUGACUGAAACGAAGAUCAUUCGUACACUUCGACGACAAACUGACAUUGGAUCUAGCGUGGCAUAGCUACCGAUCUAACGCUGGUACCUUUACGAUGUAAACAAUGCGUUUGCCACAAUUCUGAACCGCAUUUGGAGUCGUGCAGGAAGCAGAUAGAACACAACAGUUCACCAUGGACACUGAACACUGUUCGCGCUCAGUUCAGCUGGUGGCGAGCGAGACACCAGCAGCACCACACACUAACGUCAAGCGACAUCACAAGGGAAACAGGAACCCAUGCUCUUUUCCUGACUGAGAAACGCAAACGAAGCUCGAGGUUUCAAAAGGCAGUCAAACAUGGUGAACGGGGCAGGCAGGGGCACUGCAGCAGUGCAGUACCGCUGCACUUUGCCUUUGCUGCGGUAUGAUUGCGAAUAUUGAUUGCACGGCAAAGGACCAAACCAAACAGGAAGGCCCGCCCAUAUAUAGGACAUGCAGAUCGUGCACAGGAGAAAAGGAAAAGGCGAUUGGUUGCCAUCAAGGCCGGAGCCGGCAUGGCCCACACGAAUCCUGGGCGUCCUGCGUCCACUCAUGCACACAAUUGAAUGGAUUUCAUGGACACUGUACAUCAGGAAGAAAUCAAGGCAAGGCACGCGUAUGGCGAAACAGCAGAGGGCGGUGCUCUGCUCCUACUCUUGUGUAAUGUUCAUUCAUCUCAGAAGAGAAAAAACUUGGGCAAUGUUUGGACAACAGAUACUCGGUCCCCGUCACGUUAAAAAGAAUCGUAUCAUUUAAAAAUAUUAAAUAAAAUUUGCUUAAAAAUUAUGGAUGCUAAUUCGUCUCGUGAAUUAGUUCAAAAAUUCUACAAUUAGUUUUAUAAUUAGAUUUUUUUAAUACUUCUAAAUGAUAAGAUUUUUUUUGACGUGGAACCGAAACACCCUCCAACCAAAGAGAAGAAAAGAUGCACAAACGGAGGCUAUUCUGGCCUGCAAAUGCACAACCUCCGGAUGAUCUUCUAAAUCGAGUACAGAGCAUGGAGAUGAAAUUAAGCGGUAAAACUCGCAAUCAAAGCUCUUUCAAGCUUCAAUCUCUAGCAACCAAAAACACUACUGAACUGAAACAAGAAUACUACUGCUAACCAAACAAUUUGCACUCGAUACUCAACUAUUCUCUUCGUUAAUAACCACAAAAGCGCUAAACAAAUACUGCUCCAAUACGGAACCAUGAAUCACCAAAAGGUUGCUGCCAUGAAUGCCUUUACAGUCUACAUACAGCAAAAUCUAUCCCCAAAAGUGGAGUUAUCGCACAGUAUGUAUUUUCGGUAACUAAUCAAAGGAGGCCAAAUGAGCUAAUGCAUCCCUACACAAAAAGGAGUUGGCUAAUUCAAUAUCAAGCUCUUACUCACUUAGCAUUUUUUUUCCUAAACAACAAGGGAGCUGGCUACUCUAGUCGUGCAUCUCCUACCUUGGUCGACACAGCGCAUGAAAGAAACCUGACUGUUUUUUUUUUCUUUUUGAAAGACGAGAAAUCAGACUGUAAUCUAUUGCAAGCCAGAAGCCACAUCAUCACAAAAAAGAUGCAAUGGAGUCUACUACACGCAAGUAUGAAACUGCAAACCGUACCGUUGCUCUAAAGAAUCUCACAAGCAAACAUCUAUAUCGUUCAUUCCUUCCCCCUUCACCCUUUACGCCAUGACCAAUGAGCGAACUGGAAUAGCAUAACAGAAGCAGGAGCAACAGGAUAGCACUGCAAUGUCUGUGGACUGACCUGCUGCUCAUCCUGCACUCGCCGAGGCCAUGGAUGUCCGGGGCCAGCUCGGCGUCCUCGCCUCCAGCGACCGGCCGCGCCAUUGCCGUCUCUCCGCGUCGCGGCACUAGCACUGGGCUUGCGAGCGAGGAGAGGCGGAGGAGCAAGCGAACUGGGAGCAGAACCGGCAGAAGGAAAAUGCGUGCGCCUUCCGGAGGAGGAAGCAGAGGAAGGAGACGAGCGGGGAGAGACUUUGCGAGAGCGAGGAGGCCGUGUCCUGUCUGUGUGUGCCGUUGUACUAGUACUGGUAGCUUUGUGUGCAAGGAGCCAAAGGAACGGAAGGCAGCAAUGGCUGUCAGCUAUUAUUUCUGCUUUUCCGGACUCCGGCCUGCGCCUGCGCAGUAGUCUCG
rnacentral:lncRNA from 1 species